AGAAGUCACAAGUUUUGCAGAAGCAUUCAUGAUGUGGCCUGUCAGAUUCCAGCAAAUCUGUAAAUUCUGCU
rnacentral:lncRNA from 1 species